ACAGAGACUGCAAGCGUUAUUCGGAUUCACUGGGCGUAAAGGGUGCGCAGGCGGUUGGGUGUGUCAGAUGUGAAAUCCCGAGGCUUAACUUCGGAACUGCGUCUGAAACUACUCGACUAGAGUAUUGGAGAGGGUAACGGAAUUCACGGUGUAGCAGUGAAAUGCGUAGAUAUCGUGAGGAACACCAGUGGCGAAGGCGGCUACCUGGACCAGCACUGACACUGAGGCACGAAAGCGUGGGGAGCAAACAGGA
rnacentral:rRNA from 1 species